rnacentral:rRNA from 1 species
CCUACGGUGGCAGCAGUGGGGAAUAUUGGACAAUGGGCGAAAGCCUGAUCCAGCCAUGCCGCGUGUGUGAAGAAGGCCUUCGGAUUGUAAAGCACUUUCAGUGGGGAAGAAAGCCUUGGGGCUAAUACCCUCGAGGAAGGACAUCACCCACAGAAGAAGCACCGGCUAACUCCGUGCCAGCAGCCGCGGUAAUACGGAGGGUGCGAGCGUUAAUCGGAAUUACUGGGCGUAAAGCGCGCGUAGGCGGUCUGAUAAGCCGGUUGUGAAAGCCCCGGGCUCAACCUGGGAACGGCAUCCGGAACUGUCAGGCUAGAGUGCAGGAGAGGAAGGUAGAAUUCCCGGUGUAGCGGUGAAAUGCGUAGAGAUCGGGAGGAAUACCAGUGGCGAAGGCGGCCUUCUGGACUGACACUGACGCUGAGGUGCGAAAGCGUGGGUAGCAAACAGGAUUAGAUACCCGUGUAGUC